GACGAACGCUGGCGGCGUGCUUAACACAUGCAAGUCGAACGGGCCUGUCUUCUUUUUUGGGGGUGGGUUGAGUGGCGAACGGGUGAGUAUCACGUGAGUAACCUGCCCUUCGGUCCUGGAUAACCGCUUGAAAGGGCGGCUAAUACGGGGUGGUCCGGUUGGUCCGCAUGGGCUGGUCGGGAUAGAUUCACUGUUUUUGGUGUUUCGGCGGGGGAUGGGCUCGCGGCCUAUCAGCUUGUUGGUGGGGUGAUGGCCUACCAAGGCGGUGACGGGUAGCCGGCCUGAGAGGGUGGGCGGCCACACUGGGACUGAGAUACGGCCCAGACUCCUGCGGGAGGCAGCAGUGGGGGGUAUUGCACAAUGGGCGGAAGCCUGAUGCAGCGACGCCGCGUGAGGGAUGGAGGCCUUCGGGUUGUGAACCUCUGUUUCCGGUGGUGAAGGCCCUGUCCGUGUGGUGGGGUUGACGGUAGCCGGGGAUGAAGCGCCGGCUAACUACGUG
rnacentral:rRNA from 1 species